rnacentral:rRNA from 1 species
GACGAACGCUGGCGGCGUGCUUAACACAUGCAAGUCGAACGGAAAGGCCCUGCUUUUGUGGGGUGCUCGAGUGGCGAACGGGUGAGUAACACGUGAGUAACCUGCCCUUGACUUUGGGAUAACUUCAGGAAACUGGGGCUAAUACCGGAUAGGAGCUCCUGCUGCAUGGUGGGGGUUGGAAAGUUUCGGCGGUUGGGGAUGGACUCGCGGCUUAUCAGCUUGUUGGUGGGGUAGUGGCUUACCAAGGCUUUGACGGGUAGCCGGCCUGAGAGGGUGACCGGCCACAUUGGGACUGGGAUACGGCCCAGACUCCUACGGGAGGCAGCAGUGGGGAAUAUUGCACAAUGGGCGGAAGCCUGAUGCAGCAACGCCGCGUGCGGGAUGACGGCCUUCGGGUUGUAAACCGCUUUCGCCUGUGACGAAGCGUGAGUGACGGUAAUGGAUAAAGAAGCACCGGCUAACUACGUG